GUAGUAGCUCAGCGGUAGAGCAUCUGAUUUGCAUGCAGAAGGUUCCAGGUUCAGUCCCUGGCAUCUCCA